UUGUCGGUGGAAAUUGAAGUGAAAUGCAACCCAUUUUUCCAACCCUACCUGACACCAUCAUUUCCCUCUCUCUCUCUCUCUCUCUCUCUCUCUCUCUCUACCCGCUAAACACACCAUCAGACAUCACUCAUAUACAUUUUGAUUAAAAUAUAUUUUCCUUCUCUCUCUCUCUCUCUCUCUCUCUCUACCGACUGAACCCUUCCCCCUCAUUUCAGCAACUUCUCUCUCUCUCUCUUUAAGCUCUCGACAUUCUCAUUCUCUUUCUACAGCUCCGGGAGCUCUCAUCCUUCCUCUUCUUCGAAACCGAAGCAAAUCAAACUAAACAUACUCUGAAAUCUUAAUCCCCUGAAUGAGAGGAACUCGAACAUAUCCUUGCAGGCAUCAUCAGAGCACCAUUUGGGUGAUCCACCAUUGAAGCCGAGAGCUUCAAGCUUCCAUUGCUCAAACCCAGAAACUGUCGGGUGUGUUCGAAGGAAAUCUGUCGAAUCCGAAGUCGAUUCGACUCGAGUUCGUCUGUGUUGAUGCUCUGAUGAAUUACCUCAAUUUCUGGUGAAGUUCUAGUACAAAGUCUUUCGGAAACGAGGUGUUUCACCUCUGUUCAUCCUCUGCAAUUAGUUCCAAAAAACUGGUGAACCUUCGCCUGAGCAAUUCCGAUGAAAUUCAUGACAAACCUCCCCCAAUUCAUCUUAAUCAGUCCUUAGGUAAUUUUAUAAACCCUUUUUAGAUGAUUUUAACUGAGACCGGAAUGAAAGUCCUUAUGAAAAUAGUUGAACCGAAGCUCUGUAAUUUUCUGGGAAAAUUAUGCAGAUUCCAGUGAACUCCGGUGAUCGUGAAAUCUAACGACCGCUGUUAGAUUUAACGGAAUCUUCAACGGAAAAGGUAUAUUUUGUUAUUCACGUUAGGUGUUAGAAAUUGUACAAUGUUAGAAUAUGCUUGUUUGGUGGGAAAUUUUAGAAAAGAAUGAUGUUGCUGUACUGGUUUUACAAGAAGGACCAAACUGCAAAAAUUGUUGAAGCUUUAGGGCUGUUUGGUAAUUCUAAGAAGUUGGGGGCAUUUUUGCAAUUACCUCCAGUUUUAUGGGCAAUUUGGUAAAAUGUGAAAUUUGGACAGAUUAUAGUUAAUCUGUCCAUUUUGUGUAUGAUUUAUGUUUUAAGUGUUUUGUUAAGUCAAUGUGAUAGGUACAAGCUUAUUCGGUUUGACGUGACAAAGCUUAUCAAGAGCAAUCAAGCUAUGGUUAUGUGAGUAUUUCAAUGUGAUCCGUUCGGCAACACAAACAGAACCACUGCCAUUUUUUUAAGUAUGUGAUCUGAACCACCGCAGUGCAAUAACGGUGGAUACCGCCAUGACAGCCUACGAAGCCUCCUCUUCAUCCUCCUUCAAGUCAAAACUUUGGAAUUACGACGUGUUCUUGAGCUUUAGCGGCGAAGACACGCGCAAGGGCUUCACGGGCCACCUCUACCAUGCAAUCGAAGACAGGGGAUACAAGGCUUAUAUGGAUGAGGACGAUCUAAGAAGAGGGGAAGAUAUAAAAGAAGAACUUUACCGGGGAAUCGAAGAGUCAAUGAUCUCUAUCAUUGUCUUCUCAAAGAAGUACGUGGAUUCGAGUUGGUGUCUUGACGAGCUGGUGAAGAUCAUGGAGUGCAGAUCCAAACUGGGGCGACAUGUUUUGCCAAUAUUCUAUCAUGUUGAUCCUUCACAUGUCAGGAAGCAGGACGGAGAUUUAGCCGAAGCAUUUCAGAAGCACGAAGAGGGCAUCAGUGAAGAAAAAGAUGACAAGAAACGUGAAGCUAAACAAGAAAGAGUAAAACAGUGGAGAGAGGCUCUUACAAAAGCUGCAAAUUUGUCUGGCCACCAUCUUCAAAUCACUGACAAUAGGCGCGAAGCAAAGCUUAUUAGAGGAAUUGUUGACAAGAUUAUUACUAAAUGGCUUCCAAGCACAAACAAAUUAUGUGUGGCCAAGCACCAAGUUGGAAUCAAUUCUCGCAUUCAAAAUAUUAUCGCUUUUCUUUCAAGUGGUGGACCAAAUGAUGUUAUCAUGGUUGGAAUUUGGGGGAUGGGUGGAUUGGGUAAAGCAACAGUUGCCAAAGCCAUUUAUAACCAAAUUCAUUGUAAGUUUGAAUUCAAAAGUUUCCUUGCCGACGUUAGCGACACCACAAGUAAACAUGGUCUAGUUUAUUUGCAAGAAAAACUAGUUUCUAACAUCUUGAAAAAGAAGUCUGAAAUAAGCAGUGUUGAUGAAGGUAUCAGUCUGAUAGAACGACACUUUCAACGUAGAAGGGUACUUGUCAUCGUGGACAAUAUAGAUGAAGUGGAACAACUCAAUGCAAUAGCUGGAAAUCGUGAUUGGUAUGGUCCAGGAAGUAGAAUUAUCAUAACAACAAGAGAUGAACAUUUACUAAAGCAAGUGGAAGUGGACAAGAUAUAUCUGCUUCAGAAAAUGAAUGAAGAAGAAGCUCUGGAGCUCUUUAGUUGGCAUGCAUUUAGAAAUAGUUGGCCUAACAAAGGAUAUUUUGAACUCGCAAAAAAGGUUGUUUCUUACUGCGGAGGCUUGCCACUAGCACUUGAAGUUUUAGGCUCUUUUUUGAUUAAAAGAACCAUAUCAGAGUGGGGAAGUCAAUUGGAGAAAUUGGAAAAAAUUCCUGAUGGAAAAAUAAUAAAACCACUAAGAAUAAGUUUUGAAGGGCUAGAUGAUACACAAAAGGCUAUAUUCCUUGACAUAUCUUGUUUCUUUAUUGGAUGGAAUAAGGACUAUGUCAUAAAAGUAUUAGAUGGAUGUGAAUUUUCUGCAACAAUAGGAAUCAGUGUUCUUCGUGAACGAUGCCUUGUAACUGUUGAACGCAACGAGUUGAAUAUGCAUGAUUUGCUUCGAGAAAUGGCCAGAGUAAUAAUUUCUGAAAAAUCCCCUGAUCACCCUGGAAAAUGGAGUAGGUUGUGGAACCCUCAAGUCGUCACCAAUGUAUUAACAAAUAAAACUGGAACUGAAGGAGUUGAAGGACUUGCUCUACCAAGGACCAGUUGUUUCACUACAGUAGCAUUUAACAAUAUGAAGAAACUGAGAUUGCUUCAGCUCAACUUCGUAGAGCUCAAUGGAGAAUACAAACAUCUUCCCAACGAGUUGAUAUGGUUGUGCUGGCAUGGAUUCCCUUUAAAGUCCAUACCAGAUGACUUUAUUAAUCAACCAAGACUAGUUGUUUUAGACACGCAGUUUAGCCAACUGGUACAAGUUUGGGAGGGUUCCAAGUCGCUGCUGAAGUUGAAAAUCAUUAAUCUCAGUUAUUCCCGUUCACUAAUUAAAUCACCGGAGUUUUCACAACUCCCAAAUCUUGAAGAGCUGAUAUUGGAAUGUUGUUUUAGUUUGUCCGAGAUUCACCCCUCCAUUAGUCAUCUUGAAAGACUGUCUUUGGUGAACCUUACAAGAUGUUACAAGCUUCGUUCUCUUCCAAGGGAUUUCUACAAGUCGAAAUCUGUUGAGACUCUUCUUCUUAAUGGAUGUUUAGAAUUCAUAGAACUACAUGAGGAUUUAGGGGAGAUGGUAUCGUUGAGAGUACUUGAAGCAGAGAAUACAGCCAUAAGGCAAGUACCACCUUCCAUGGUGAGACUGAAAAAUCUCACUCGUUUAUCCCUAGAAUGUGUGCAAUUGUUGGGGAUGCCUAUUGAUUUGUCCCUUUCGUUACAUGGCUUACACUCUUUAAGGGAAUUAAAUCUCUCAGCGUGCCAUUUACGUGAUUAUGCAAUUCCUAAGGAUCUUGGGAGUCUAAUUUCCUUACAAGAUUUGAAUCUUCGAGGGAAUGAUUUUCUUCGCCUACCCAGCCUCACCGGUCUUUCAAAGCUUGAAACUCUACGGCUAAGUGGAUGCAGAAAGCUUCAAACGAUCCCUGAUCUACCAACAAAUUUGAAAUUUCUGUAUGCGUUUGAUUGCCCUGCAUUGGGAAUUGUGCCAAAGUUUUCAGAAAUGGCAAAUGUGAGACAGUUGAAUGUAAGUGAUUCAACCAAACUCACUAAGGUUGUAGGCUUAGGUAAGUCAUUAAACACCAUGACAUGGAUUGAUAUGAAAAGGUGCACCAAUCUCACAGCUGAGUUUAGGAAGAACAUCCUACAGGGAUGGACUUCUUGUGGAUUUGGUGGCAUUUUCCUCCAUGGAAAUUAUGUUCCUGAUUGGUUCGAGUUUGUCAACAAAGGCAAUAAAGUCAGUUUUGUUAUUCGCCCAAGUAAUGAGCGUGAUCUUGAAGGGUUGACUCUAUUCUGCAAUUUUGAAAGGUUAACUCUGUUUUGCUUUUAUUGCUCAGGCAACAGAUUUAAUCGUCCUCUUCCUCUUGCCAGUAUCACUAUAAUAAAUAAUACCAAAUGUACAGAGUUGGGGGAUUGCAUAGUCAGAGAAGAUUGGGAGGGGCUAAUAGAUAACAAACCAGCCCAUUAUAUUUGGCAGGGACGAUUAUCGAACCAUAAGCUCAAUUUGCAAGGCAAGGAUAAAGUUGAAGUUGAUAUAAUUUUUGCGGAAUCUGAUUUUCCUCAGACAGUGAAGAGAACAGGGGUUAAUCCAGCAUGGGACAAACCUAUGAAGGAAAAUAUGCAUGAUUUGGACCAAGAUGGUUACCCACAUCCAGCUCGGUUCUAUGAUCAUGAUCCUCUCGGCCUUGCGCAUUUACGUCCUUCUUUGUCUGUUGAUACUCUUCCUGCAGGCCGUCGUAUUGAGCCUCGCUUGCGACAGACUCAUUCGCUUCAGCCUCACUCUCAGCCUCAAACUCGUCAUGAGAAUCUCCCAGUGCUCUUCCAGCCACGGGGUCCCGCGGUCAGUGACAGUAGAGAGCAGAUAUCUGACUCAAUGGGCGCAUAUGAUCCGAGUAGUAAUCAAAUUAUGAGUAGUACAGGAGGACAACUAGCAGUAGCAGUGCAUGAUCAUGAUCUUCUCGGCCUUGCGCAUUUACAUCAUUCCUUGUCUCUUGAUACUCCUCAUGCAGGCCGUCGUAUCCGGCGUUUUUCACGACGGCCUCACUCUCAGCCUCGAUCAUGUCCUCAGAAUUUACCAGUACUUCUCCAGCGACAACCACAAGGUCCGGCGGUCAGUGACAGUAGAGAGCAGAUAUCCGACCCAAUGGGAGCAUAUGAUCCGAGUAGUAAUCAAAUUAUGAGUAGUACAGAAGAACAACUAGCAGUAGCAGUGCAUGAUCAUGACCCUCUCGGCCUUGCACAUUUACGUCUUUCCUUGUCUCUUGAUACUCCUCAUGCAGGCUGUCAUAUCCAGCGUCGUUCACGACGGCCUCACUCUCAGCCUCGAUCAAGUCCACGGAAUCUACCAGUACUUCUGGAGCGGCACCCACAUGGUUUGGCGGUCAGUGACAGUGAAGAGCAGAUAUCCAACUCAUUGGACGAUGAUCUUCUUGCACGCCUUUGCAAAUCCUUUGCAUGCCUUUCUUUGUCUCCUGAUCAUUCAUCUACUUUCUCAACCCACAUUCAGCCGGACGCCUGACUCUGUUGGCCUUUACCAUUUAGAGAGAGUGAAAGACUCAGAGUUGAAAAUAUGUACUUGCUAAGCAAUUAGUCCCCUUCUUCUCCUGAAUUUUCUGGGACAUUGAAGAGAACAUGGGUUAAUCUAGUAGGGAACAAACCUAUGAAGGAAAACCUGCAUGAUUUGGACCCACAUCGAGCUCGGUUCUAUGAUGAGAAUUACUACACAUGACUAGAAUGGAAAAAGGCAAAAAUUUUGAAGUGAAAACUUCAUUUGUCUAGAUUAAGUCACACCCAGAUCGGUUCUAUGGUGAGGCACGAUCAAGACAGUGAUGCAACGUCAUCAUCAGGGGUCAUGCGUCGUCAUCAUCGUCAUCACAUAUCUGAAUUUCUGGACUACAGAUCACCACCGGCUUCAUCAUCAGCGAGUCGAUAUUUCAUACUUCUCUCAGAUUCUUAUGAUUUUUUCGUUUCUUCAAGGCGGCCUGCAAAGGUCCCGAGGGGUGCUAUUCGAUUUGGCCCAGGCAGCUGUUGUUGCAAUGGCGGAGUCGCUGGUGGUAUGAAACAUAUAACUCUGGCUUGAGCUGGUGGAGGGAGUAUCCAAGCACGAAUCCAUUAUCUUCGAGAGCAAAAGUAAAACCUUGUUCGACAGAUUCUGUAUUUUCCACCAGUUUCUGAGUCACAAGGCUGUCUCUGAUCACCUUCUUAAGCUCUUCAUUUCCACUCCUCAAAAAACCAUCUGCAGAAUGCCUCGGUUUUUCAAACUCCGUCACAUGAUUGUGUUUUUGUUCAAGUGAGACAUUUAAUGUGAAGCUUCCUGCAACUUGCCAAGCAUGACAAGAGAACCCUGCAAAAGCACAUUAAAACUUUUGUGCUAAGCAACAGUCUACAACAAGAAAAUUUAAAAGACUUUCUUUGGUGAACCUCAAAAGAUGCC